AUUGAACGCUGGCGGCAUGCUUUACACAUGCAAGUCGAACGGUAACAGGCCGCAAGGUGCUGACGAGUGGCGAACGGGUGAGUAAUGCAUCGGAACGUGCCCAGUCGUGGGGGAUAACGCAGCGAAAGCUGUGCUAAUACCGCAUACGAUCUGUGGAUGAAAGCGGGGGACCGAAAGGCCUCGCGCGAUUGGAGCGGCCGAUGUCAGAUUAGGUAGUUGGUGGGGUAAAGGCUCACCAAGCCAACGAUCUGUAGCUGGUCUGAGAGGACGACCAGCCACACUGGAACUGAGACACGGGCCAGACUCGUACGGGAGGCAGCAGUGGGGAAUUUUGGACAAUGGGCGCAAGCCUGAUCCAGCAAUGCCGCGUGCAGGAAGAAGGCCUUCGGGUUGUAAACUGCUUUUGUACGGAGCGAAAAGGCUCUCUCUAAUACAGGGGGCUCAUGACGGUACCGUAAGAAUAAGCACCGGCUAACUACGUGCCAGCCGCCGCGGUAACAC
rnacentral:rRNA from 1 species